AUACUUACCUGGACGGGGUCUAUGGACGAUCAAUAAGGUUCAUGGCCUAGGUAGCUGGCCUCCAUUGCACUUUGUGAGGAACAGCUGCCUAAGAUCUCCCCAAGUGGGAGAGUCUACGUCAUAAUUUGUGGUAGAGGGGGCCUGCGUUCGCGCGGCCCCUG